rnacentral:rRNA from 1 species
GACGUAGGGCGCGAGCGUUGUCCGGAUUUAUUGGGCGUAAAGAGCUCGUAGGCGGCUUGUCGCGUCGACUGUGAAAUCCCGCGGCUCAACUGCGGGUCUGCAGUCGAUACGGGCAGGCUAGAGUUCGGUAGGGGAGACUGGAAUUCCUGGUGUAGCGGUGAAAUGCGCAGAUAUCAGGAGGAACACCGAUGGCGAAGGCAGGUCUCUGGGCCGACACUGACGCUGAAGCGCGAAAGCCAGGGGAGCGAACGGG